rnacentral:rRNA from 1 species
GACGAACGCUGGCGGCGUGCCUAAUACAUGCAAGUCGAACGCAGUGGGGACGGGUGAUUAACACGUGGGUAACCUCCCAUCAGAGGGGUUAACACUUGGCAACAGGUGCUAAAGCCAUACGGCGGGAUGAACCCGCGGUGCUUAAGCUAUUGGGUGGGGGAACGGCUCACCAAGGCCACGAAGCAUAGCCGACCUGGGAGGGGUAUCAGCCAACCUGGGACUGAGACACGGCCCAGACUCCUACGGGAGGCAGGAGGAGGGAAUUAUCGGCAAUGGGCGAAAGGCUGACCGAGGAACGCCGCGUGAGUGAAGGAGGUUUUCGGAGCGUAAAACUCUGUUGUUAGAGAAGCGGUAUCUAACCGGAAAGCCACGGCUAACUACGUUCCAGCAGCCGCGGUAAUAC